UACGGAGGGGGGUUAGCGUUGUUCGGAAUGACUGGGCGUAAAGCGCGCGUAGGCGGGCUGGAAAGUUGGGGGUGAAAUCCCGGGGCUCAACCCCGGAAUGGCCUUCAAAAACUCCCAGCCUAGAGUUCGAGAGAGGUGAGUGGAAUUCCGAGUGUAGAGGUGAAAUUCGUAGAUAUUCGGAGGAACACCAGUGGCGAAGGCGGCUCACUGGCUCGACACUGACGCUGAGGUGCGAAAGCGUGGGGAGCAAACAGG
rnacentral:rRNA from 1 species